rnacentral:lncRNA from 1 species
UCCAGGAAUAUAUAUUACCGAAUUAAUAGGUAGGUGUUGAAGGUGGGGAUUAAACUCACAACCUCACAGAAUGAAGAAAUUUAGAAUUGACUCUGAUACCAUAUUACCCAGAAGAUUGAUCUAGUAAAAAACGUGUCUAUAAAUAUAUAUUACCACCUCGCUAAUUCUGUUGGGCAAAAAUAAAUUGAAACUACAGUACGUAGAGAUGUACUUCUCUGUUUUCUGACGGGAUUAGCAUACCUUAAAAGAAUUAGUGGUUGUGCACAAUGCGUUAUUAUUUACAGAAACAAACAAAAUAUUUUUCUAAUAUAGUUUCUCACCAUACACAACACAUUCUACCUGCAAUUCCAAUCGGAUACUUCGCUUUCUUCUCUCAAGUAUCUUGGGCCAACAAAUAAAUUAGACUAGGUCAAUAAUUGGAAACACAUACAAUAAGAUUAA